AGAGGGAGGAGACAGAGGCAGAGCAACAAGACUUAGGAAAGAAGUGGACAGAUGGCCGUAACAGUGAUCAUCAUCACUUGUGCAGUUCUAUCAAUCUACCUAUGCAUUUCUACACCACCUCUCACCAGAGUGCUUGCCUCCUGUUCUCCCUAAGCAAUGAGGUUAAUAUUGAAGAACCGGGUCCAUGGUGCUGGCAGAAUCCAGGCGGAACCAAUCUUCAAAGCAUCUGCUUCCAUUGUCCUCCCCAUCUCAUCCUAACCACAUCCCUGGCCUUUAUUUCUUUCCCACAAUGUGAGGGCAAUAAAGAUUAACCUAUCUACUUAAGUUUUGUAAUUACAGUU